GGCCGUGUGGCGAAAUGGCAUCGCGUCUGACUACGAUAAUGUGAUCAGGAGAUUGCAGGUUCGACCCCUGUCUCGGUCA